rnacentral:ncRNA from 2 species
GAUUCCGAGGAGCGCUGCAGCCCCUGGCCCGUUGAGACAUCGGGUCACGGUGUGAGGCUCGGAAAACCGUCCAUCAAGUGAUAACGGCGCUCACCCACU